rnacentral:rRNA from 1 species
GACGAACGCUGGCGGCGUGCCUAAUACAUGCAAGUCGAACGCUGAAGAGAGGAGCUUGCUCUUCUUGGAUGAGUUGCGAACGGGUGAGUAACGCGUAGGUAACCUGCCUGGUAGCGGGGGAUAACUAUUGGAAACGAUAGCUAAUACCGCAUAAAAUGGAUUAUCGCAUGAUAAUCCAUUGAAAGGUGCAAAUGCAUCACUACCAGAUGGACCUGCGUUGUAUUAGCUAGUUGGUGGGGUAACGGCUCACCAAGGCGACGAUACAUAGCCGACCUGAGAGGGUGAUCGGCCACACUGGGACUGAGACACGGCCCAGACUCCUACGGGAGGCAGCAGUAGGGAAUCUUCGGCAAUGGACGGAAGUCUGACCGAGCAACGCCGCGUGAGUGAAGAAGGUUUUCGGAUCGUAAAGCUCGGUUGUAAGAGAAGAACGAGUGUGAGAGUGGAAAGUUCACACUGUGACGGUAGCUUACCAGAAAGGGACGGCUAACUACGUG